UAGGGAAUCUUCGGCAAUGGGGGGAACCCUGACCGAGCCACGCCGCGUGAGUGAAGAAGGUUUUCGGAUCGUAAAGCUCUGUUGUUAAGGAAGAACGAGUGUGAGAAUGGAAAGUUCAUGCUGUGACGGUACUUAACCAGAAAGGGACGGCUAACUACGUGCCAGCAGCCGCGGUAAUACGUAGGUCCCGAGCGUUGUCCGGAUUUAUUGGGCGUAAAGCGAGCGCAGGCGGUUAGAAAAGUCUGAAGUGAAAGGCAGUGGCUCAACCAUUGUAGGCUUUGGAAACUGUUUAACUUGAGUGCAGAAGGGGAGAGUGGAAUUCCAUGUGUAGCGGUGAAAUGCGUAGAUAUAUGGAGGAACACCGGUGGCGAAGGCGACUCUCUGGUCUGUAACUGACGCUGAGGCUCGAAAGCGUGGGUAGCAAACAGG
rnacentral:rRNA from 1 species